AAAAUUUUAAGUUAAAAAAACUAUUAACUUUCAAAGUUAAAUAUAUAUAUUAAAAUUUAUAAAUUUUA
rnacentral:tRNA from 1 species